CCUACGGGGUGCAGCAGUGAGGAAUAUUGGUCAAUGGACGAGAGUCUGAACCAGCCAAGUAGCGUGAAGGAAGAAGGCUUUCGGGUUGUAAACUUCUUUUGACAGGGAAGAGUAGAAGACGGUACCUGUCGAAUAAGCCACGGCUAACUACGUGCCAGCAGCCGCGGUAAUACGUAGUUGGCAAGCGUUGUCCGGAUUUACUGGGGGUAAAGGGCGUGUAGCCGGGUUGACAAGUCAGAUGUGAAAUCCUGCGGCUUAACCGCAGAACUGCAUUUGAAACUGUGGAUCUUGAGUACUGGAGAGGCAGACGGAAUUCCUAGUGUAGCGGUGAAAUGCGUAGAUAUUAGGCGGAACACCAGUGGCGAAGGCGGUCUGCUGGACAGCAACUGACGGUGAGGCGCGAAAGCGUGGGGAGCAAACAGGAUUAGAUACCCCAGUAGUC
rnacentral:rRNA from 1 species